GGCUGGCAUCAGUAAAAAAAAUGACAUUAUCUGCAAGUUAACAGGUUGCAACUCACCAGCUGAUGUCAGCUCCUCUCCGCUGCAGUGAUUUCAGCCCAGCACUAUUCCUUUUGCACGUGGAACACACCUGGCUUGGACUUAGCUGAGUACCCGCAACCCUUCUAUAACUGUGUGAUGGUACCAAAGGUGAUCACAUUAUUUGGUCACAUUAAUGGUUUUAUUAGUUUUAUUUUAAAUGUUGGAAGUGCAUCAGAAAUCUGCUGUAGAGAUCUGGAGUCCUGGUGGAUAAAAGUUAAUGCUGCAUCUUUCUGUUGCCUAUAAGCAGAGGAGAAUAAAACCUUGCCAAUUCAGUAUCUGUGAACAAGUUGAACCAUAUGUGACAGCAUGUUUUUUAGAUGGCAUCAUUUCAUCUCAUGCUCUGAAAGUGACAAGUUACACUGUGGCACUGACUUUAUUGUAUUAGCCUGUGCUGGCUGUGCUGAAUUUAUAAACCAUGGAGCAACUUUCUUUGGCUCUAUCUCACACAACAGAAGGUGAAGUAAGAAAACACUGGGAAACUAAUUGACUUUUCAAGAGAAUCAUCUUUUUGGGUUGGUUUGGAAGGUUGAAGGAGGAGCCAAGAUAACAAAAAUCUAUUUCAAGUAAAUAAGUGUAUGUUCUUGCCUGGUGAUUCCUGUAGUGGCUUUUCCUGUGCAUAUAAAUGAAAGACCUGGAGUAUAUUUUUUCUACCUAAAAACUUUAACUGCUAUUUUCAAGGAAAUAAGACAAUUUUUUAAGCUUUCAACACUCUAUGGUGUUGAUAUCUCAAUAUUCUUCUAAAGAGGCUUUUUGUUGUACAGUAGAAGAAAAGGCCUAUUCCAUAAAAGCAAAUGCAGUUGUCUGCCAGGUCAACACUGGACCAGCCAGAAUCUGUGAUAAUAAGAACAAUAUGAAACAGAAUUUGAAUUAAUGUUACCUUGCCUUUCAGUAGGUUUAUUGACUUGAAUGUUGUAUUAUGUCUUAAUCAAUGUGUAUGUAUUAUGUCUUAAUCAAUGUGGAUUCUAGUUGAUUUGUAGUGGAAAGUGCUACAAAAGCAGAAAAGCUACAAAGUGCUUUUCAGACAUAUUCAUAGGCUUGCCAAUAGCAGAGCCACAGGCAAAUAAUGUUCUUAUUGAAUGAAAAUAGGAGAUAGAGUUCCAAACUUUUAGAAAAAGCAGACCCUAGAAACAAUUAGACCAACACUGUGAGAAGAUAAGCAAUUUCAAUUUACAUGUGUUAUUAAGGUAUUCUAUUGAUAUACGUUACAUCAUUUAAUACAUGCUAUUAAAAUGCUUUUAAAUGGGUAGAUGAGUUCACCAAUGAAAAUUUUGGAACAGAGCAGUCCAUUGUUUCUAAGUUAACUUGAUAGUCAGGUUAGAAUUUGUGGGGACUAGAGGGCAGUCUUUUAAAACUGUAUUUGUUCAGUAAUCAUUAAAUUAAUUUUACCUAGAUGUUAUAAACAGUGGUUCAGUGCUAUCACUAUCACCAGGCAAAGAACUGAUUAUGCCAGGUCCAUCAACUCACCACAGUAAUCAAAUUGAAACUUGUCUGCAAAGCAAGGUUAUAUCUAAAGCUUUUUGAAACAGGAGUUCAUGGUGUGCAUCUAGUUAAAUCUACCUAUAUAACCUUGUACGGAUUCCACCAUUUAUGAGAAAAGAGGUGCAUCGCAUGGAGGUUGGCUUCCCAGCUGACUUCUAAAGUAAGAAAACAGCAGUGAUUCAUGAACUUGGCAGGGAUUCUUUCAAGUAUGAGAUUACUAAAAAAUAUGUACUACUUUAGAUACUGUAUUUCAUACUAAUAUUUCAAGCAUUUAGAGCUUUGUUGUUGUAAAUACGUUGCAGGAGAAAUUAAGUUUAUUAAUGUAGAAAAUGUCCAUGUAGAAAACAUGCUCUUUAUUGGCCCUCUUUCUUAACAUAUGUGUUCAAAGUUCUCAUUUCACUGUUUAAUUGCUUUGAACAAUAUGUAAAAAAUAGUAGUUUACGUGGCUUAGUCAACUGAUUUACAAGUAAGCAUUCUUUCAACUGUAGGUAUUAAAAAGUUCUCAGAUGAAAGAGGUAAAAUGUGCAAGCCCAACCUUUCUGUCUUUGAGGGCAGAGACCAAACCUAAAUGUAAUAGAAGACAUUGAUAAAAUGUUUGUUCAGUGACACAUGAUGGCUUUAUAGCAGUCGUAGCAAUAAAUCCAGUGGGACAGUAUUCAAAAUAUAUUUUAUCAAGUUCUUCAUAGUUAGAUAUAAUCCUGAAAUAAAACCAAUCUAUAUUUGUAAAUAUGGAUUAGAAGCAUGAAGGUGCUGCUUAUUGUCAACAUUUAGACUGGGUAGUUUCUACACUGGCAGAUCUAGUUGGAACUUUGAGAUGAACCUAUUCCAGUUAUUUCCUUACAGUAAGUUCUUCAAAGAUAAAAAGGCUUUUAAAUCAGGAAAAUCUGGGACAUGCAUUGAAUAUCCAUUGAAAUGCCUAAGUCUUUAAAUGUAUGUAAGAUAAAGCACAACUGGAAGACAUACAUCUGUGUUCCCUCUGCCUCUUCUGCAUCCUUUAGGGGCACGUUCUUUCUCCCAGUCAUAGCUUCACUCGACUUAUUAUUCAUUUUGAACAGGAGAAAACCACACAGCCAGGUCUGGCUGCAUCUUCUGUAUUCCCAAGAAGGGGAAGGUACAGUCUCCUUUUGAGCUCCUUUUGUAGUUGUCUUUUUCUCAGCACUGCCCUGUGUCAUGCUUCCUCUCUAUAUCACAUAGUUCUGAGCAUUCUUACUGUUUCCCAAGUCUUUCCUCUUUUCAUGGUGCAUAGUGCAGGCAUUCAGAACAAGUCAAUAUGUAACGGAUGAUGACAGUGAAAUUUUGAAGGUGCAUUUUAAAUUUCAGAAAUGAACUUGAAACUGGACAUGUUAGACAAAUAGAAAAAUGAGAUAGAUCAGUUCCUCCUCUGUGGAAACAGAUAUUGUCUACAGGGAGACCUUGGUCUCACUUCUUAGUAGAUCUGAAACAGAAGGGAGACAAGACAAAUUGGUCAGGGAGUGCUUUAGCAGAAUUCUGAAAUAAAAAUAAUGCACUGGGUGGGAGUACUUUUUGCAUUGCAAAUAGUUUGAAACAGUCUUAGUUUUUUGGCCAACUUUAUACAUAAUUGUGAAUCUAAGAUGUUCUUGGCAUGUUUCAGCUUCUGUCUUGUUAGAAGAUGUUAGCUCCCUCCAAGCUGUUUUAUUUUAGUCUGGUUGCUGUGACAGCCACAAGGCAAAAUUCAGCUGUUCUGGGAAGAGGGUCAGGUGCUGGCCUGCUGCUAUGAAAGUGGAAAGGGUGUGGGGAAAUGGUCAAGUAGAAUAGAGAACUGCAGGGGAAAAAUAGAGAGGGGAAAAUAGAACAACAUAAAAGCUACAGAAUUAAACUUGUGCUAUGAACAGAAUGAGCGCUGAUUGUUGCUUGUGGAAGAGUCUCAUUGCUUCCAGCAGAACUGAGCUAUGGUACCCUGACCUAUCCCUAUUAACAGCAGCAGCAGCACCAACCUGAUGCUGUGAUUGAGAAAAGGAGCCCUUUGUUCUUCUGUUACACAGCAGCAGUCUAUGCCCUAGGUGCUUAAUUUCAGUGCUUUCAACAGAGGUGUGUAUAGCAUAGUGUAGAAAGUACAGAGGCUUCAUCUUGGCCUACCAAAGGGUUUGGUUCUGAUUUAUCCUGUGGGCAUAUACUUUUAACUGCACAUCACCAGUCGUGUUAAAAACUUAAUGUCCAUUACCAUUAAGAUGUUAGAAGACAAUUGAUAAACCUCUCAA